CGGGGUGUAGCGUAGCCUGGUAUCGCGCCAGCAUGGGGUGCUGGAGGUCGUGGGUUCGAAUCCCGCCACUCCGACGA
rnacentral:tRNA from 3 species